rnacentral:rRNA from 1 species
UACGUAGGUGACAAGCGUUGUCCGGAUUUACUGGGCGUAAAGAGCGCGCAGGCGGUCGUUCAAGUCGAGUGUGAAAGCCCCCGGCUCAACUGGGGAGGGUCACUCGAUACUGAUCGACUCGAAGGCAGGAGAGGGAAGUGGAAUUCCCGGUGUAGUGGUGAAAUGCGUAGAUAUCGGGAGGAACACCAGUGGCGAAGGCGACUUCCUGGCCUGUUCUUGACGCUGAACGGCGAAAGCUAGGGGAGCAAACGGG